AAUCUUCAAAAUCCCUCUCUUUUGAGUGAUUUUUGGACUUGGAGGUUCAAUGCUCGCUUUUGCCUUUUAGAAAGCGAGCUCCUCUCAAAUGAAUCAGUGGGGUCUGCUUUGCCGGUCCUUGACGUGAUAAGAUCUUUCUACGUUUUGGAUUCGACAUUGUCCCGCUUCCAAUCGUCCCACGGACAAAGGGAUGGUGCUCCGGUCGUGGCCGGACCCACCAAAGAAAA
rnacentral:misc_RNA from 1 species